rnacentral:rRNA from 1 species
GUAGGUGGCAAGCGUUGUCCGGAAUUAUUGGGCGUAAAGCGCGCGCAGGCGGUUCUUUAAGUCUGAUGUGAAAGCCCACGGCUCAACCGUGGAGGGUCAUUGGAAACUGGAGAACUUGAGUACAGAAGAGGAAAGCGGAUUUCCACGUGUAGCGGUGAAAUGCGUAGAGAUGUGGAGGAACACCAGUGGCGAAGGCGGCUUUCUGGUCUGUAACUGACGCUGAGGCGCGAAAGCGUGGGGAGCAAACAGGGAUUAGAUACCCUGGUAGUCCACGCCGUAAACGAUGAGUGCUAAGUGUUAGGGGGUUUCCGCCCCCUUAGUGCUGCAGCUAACGCAUUAAGCACUCCGCCUGGGGAGUACGGCCGCAAGGCUG